UCCGAGUUGACCCCGGCAGUCUCCUACGAGUCCCCGGCAUUACCCGCUGGCAACAUAGGAUAAGGGUUGCGCUCGUUGCGGGACUUAACCCAACAACUCACGACACGAGCUGACGACAGCCAUGCACCACCUGUGCACUUGCCCCGAAGGGCUGCCGUGUUUCCACGACAUUCAAGUGCAUGUCAAGCCUUGGUAAGGUUCUUCGCGUUGCGUCGAAUUAAACCGCAUGCUCCGCUGCUUGUGCGGGCCCCCGUCAAUUCCUUUGAGUUUUAGCCUUGCGGCCGUACUCCCCAGGCGGGGUGCUUAAUGCGUUAGCGCCGGCACGGAGGGAGUUAGUCAGCCCCCCACACCUAGUGCCCAUCGUUUACGGCUAGGACUAC
rnacentral:misc_RNA from 1 species